UCUGGCUUAACCAUCGUACACAGGAAAGGUUUAGGACCUUGACCAGCUCUUACUACAGAGGGGCACAAAGGAUCAUCAUGGUGUAUGAUGUUACUCGCCGAGACACGUUCACAAAUCUGUCUGACAUAUGGGCCAAGGAAAUUGACCUGUAUUCGACCAACCAGGACUGCAUAAAGAUGCUUGUAGGAAACAAAGUGGACAAGGCUCUUAAUCUGUUCCAGCUUACUAGUUUGCUCAGGAGCAAGAACAUAUAUUUGAUAUGCAUAGUCUUCUCUCUCUCACUCUCUGCAUAUUAGUACUUAUGUUCUUCAUAUACGUGCAUGAUGGCCGCCUGCUACCCUGCUUAAAUUGGACAGAAAUAUAUGUUUUGCAUAUGUGAGGCCA